rnacentral:lncRNA from 1 species
CUAUAUGUGUUUUUAAAACUCUGUUUUUAGAACGUCAGAUUUUGAUUUCUUGAAUCCGAGGGUUACGUGCAAAAUCUUUGGCACAUCUGCAUAUAUAUGUGUGUGUUUAAAUCUUGAAACUCGAUUCACUCUGAGCAUCAAAAACCUUACUCUGAUUAAAAAAUGACCUUCUCUUAUUCUCCACAAAAAUGGCUGCUUUUUC